rnacentral:rRNA from 1 species
AUGGCUCCGCACUGGUUACUAGCCUUAGUCUCGUUGCUGCUGCUCCUGCAAACUCCGUCCAUUUCCUCCCUUGAUGCUAGGGGAUCGGAUGCGACAUGCGUCGCCCAUGAGAGGGCGGCACUCCUCUCCUUCAAGGCAAGCUUGUCAGACCCCGCGAAACUACUUUCAUCGUGGCAUGGUGAACAUUGUUGCACCUGGGGAGGAGUUGGGUGCAGCAACAGAACCGGCCAUGUUCUCAAGCUCAACCUCAGUAGCUGCAGCCAAGAAUUCGGAGUGCGAGUGGGAGGUGAGAUCAGCCCCUCUUUGACUACCUUGCAUCACUUGAGGUAUUUAGACUUGAGCUGCAGCAACUUCAGUGGGGUACAGAUCCCCCAAAAAAUUGGUUCUCUUAAAAGUCUUCAGCAUCUUGAUCUUUCUCGUGCAAGCUUUGUGGGCAGGGUACCUCCACAGCUUGGUAAUCUCUCCAAUCUUAUAUUUCUCAGUGUCUCGGACAAUCCUUUGUACUCAGAUGAUCUUGCAUGGUUAUCACAUCUCACCUCACUACAGUACCUCGAUAUGAGCUCGGUUAAUCUUAGCACAGUAGUGGAUUGGGUGCAUGCAAUCAACAAGCUUCCUUCAUUGAAAGUUCUUCGUUUGGAAGACAGUGAUCUCAGAAAAAGCCCUGCUACUCUCUCUCAUUAUAAUCUAACAGCCCUCCGGGUGUUGGAUAUCAGCGGUAAUAGCUUUCAGGCUGGAUUUUCUCCCAGCUGGGUUUGGCAUAUAACUACAUUGACUUAUCUUGAUCUCUCCCAAUGUGAUUUCCAUGGCUCCAUUCCUGAUGAAAUGGGAAGUAUGACCUCUCUUGAAGAAGUUCACAUAGCCGAAGCCAACCUUGCCGGUAUAAUACCACCAAAUUUGAAGAAUCUAUGCAAUUUGAAGAUUGUGGAUCUACAUGAUAGCAACACCACAGGGGAUAUAGGAGAACUAAUGGAACGGUUGCCAAAAUGCUCAUGGGACAAGAUGUACGUGUUGGAUUUCUCGGACAACAACAUCAGUGGGAGCUUGCCAAAUUGGACCUGUGCCACUGUGGAUAGGAGCACUUCCAAAACUGGUUAUGCUACAUCUUCAUUCUAA